UGUUUCCUGUUAGUCGAUUCGCAAGUGUACCUUAUGCUAAACAUUAAAUCGGAAAGCAACAUAGUUUAGAAAUCCGAUUGAAUGUGACAUAGACUCUCUCAGUUUUAGUGACAGUGCCGUUAUAUAGCGUUGGAAGCUAAUACGUUGCUUUACGCGGCAGAUUAAAAGACGAUCGGGCUCAGAUAUGGGUGUGGAGGAUUAUCAUGCGAUCGAGCUCGUCGGUGAAGGCUCUUUCGGGAGAGUUUACAAAGGAAGACGAAAGUACACCGGCCAGACGGUGGCGAUGAAGUUCAUCAUGAAACAAGGAAAGAGUGACAAAGAUAUACACAGUCUAAGGCAAGAAAACGAGAUAUUGCGGAAGCUCAAGCAUGGGAAUAUUAUUGAAAUGCUCGAUUCCUUUUGAAACGCACGGGAGUU